rnacentral:rRNA from 1 species
CAGUAGCCGCGGGAAUACGAAGGGGGCUAGCGUUGCUCGGAAUGACUGGGCGUAAAGGGCGCGUAGGCGGCGGCCAAAGUCAGGCGUGAAAUUCCUGGGCUCAACCUGGGGGCUGCGUUUGAUACUUGGUUGCUUGAGUGGGGAAGAGGGUCGUGGAAUUCCCAGUGUAGAGGUGAAAUUCGUAGAUAUUGGGAAGAACACCGGUGGCGAAGGCGGCGACCUGGUCCUUUACUGACGCUGAGGCGCGAAAGCGUGGGGAGCAAACAGGAUUAGAUACCCGAGUAGUCCCUGUCUCUUAUAC